UUUUAAUCUUAAACUUAUCUUUGAGAUAUCAAGAAACGUGGGUAAAUUUCAAUACUUAAUAACCCAAUACCAGCGCUUGUAGCGGUUCUGCUGCCAGCGGCCAGAAGUUUAACCAAUCCGGCUAGAGUGACAUUCAACGGAGCAGGAAACCCUCUCACUCUUUCUAACGCACGCGUUCGCUCGCACUUGAACUUUCCCGCCUUUUCAGACGCCAUAGCUGUGGCGUGAUUGCGCAAUUUAUUAUGUCCAUGUCUUUUGUUAGAUGUCACUUCAAUCUGUCCGAUCAUUAACCAAUAAAUCAGCUAAACACGCUCAGUUGCUAAAUUUCUUUAUAAUUUCAUGUCUUUAACAAUACGAUUGUGGAUACUGCCUUUAUAUCUAUUUGAUUUGAUAAGAAUUAAAAAUAGUAAUUCUUUAUAAUUUCACGUCUUCGAUAAUAUCUUUGUGCAUUUAUACCUAUUUUAUUAUAAGUAUUAAAAGUAAUAAUAAAUCAGCAAAAUAAAAUUAUUAUUUGCUAAAUUUAAGCCUAUUCUGCUUAAAAUAUAAAGUAGUAUUACUAUACUAUUAGUAGUAUUAUUAUUUACGUUAUUGAAUUGUGAUUUUGUAUUAUAUAUUGCUUAAUAUGAUAUUUUAAUUCGUUAUUAAUCGCGAAACGCGAUUGUGCAUCCAUUUGGAGGUGAUAAAUUAAUUAGUGGUUAAUUGGUUAAAUACAUGUGGGCAUAGUAAAAUAAACUAAAGCCAAUAAAUAGCAAGAUAUGACAACUUCCUCAAACGACAUGAACUGAUGAAUUGUCAUAAAUAAUAUUAAGGCAAAUUUUUGAAGCUUAAUUUCAAAAAGGAUCAUACAGGAAUGAUAAUAAUAAUUUGCGACGUUAUAUCAUCUCCAUAAUCUGUAUGGGGUUCAGCGAUGUCAUGUGAAAAAAUCUUAGUGUGUUUAUAAUAAAAACUGAUACAUACCUAACACUAUUAAUAAAACUAUAAUUAUAACUUUAAUUAUAACUAUAACGAUAACUAUAACUAUAACUAUUAUAGUUGCUAUUACUGUUGUUAUUGCUAUUUUCUACGCAUCUCAGUUAAGUUAUAAAUCUGUAGUCCAUCUCCUAUAUUUAUAACUCAACGGUAGCAGUAACACAGUAAUUAGUAAACUAAAAAUUAAUAA